AUACGGGGGGUGCAAGCGUUGUUCGGAAUUAUUGGGCGUAAAGAGCGUGUAGGCGGCCGAAUAAGUCAGAUGUGAAAUCCCUGGGCUUAACCCAGGACGUGCAUUUGAAACUAUUCGGCUGGAGUAGGGGAGAGGAAAGUGGAAUUCCUGGUGUAGAGGUGAAAUUCGUAGAUAUCAGGAGGAACACCGGUGGCGAAGGCGACUUUCUGGCCCUAUACUGACGCUGAGACGCGAGAGCGUGGGUAGCAAACAGGAUUAGAUACCCUGGUAGUCCACGCUGUAAACGAUGUUCACUAGGUGUUGGGGGUAUUGACCCUCUCAGUGCCGCAGCUAACGCAUUAAGUGAACCGCCUGGGGAGUACGGUCGCAAGAUUAAA
rnacentral:rRNA from 1 species